rnacentral:misc_RNA from 1 species
UAAAUGCGAUAAGUAAUGUGAAUUGCAGAAUUCAGUGAAUCAUCGAAUCUUUGAACGCACCUUGCGCUCCUUGGUAUUCCUUGGAGCAUGCCUGUUUGAGUAUCAUGAAAUCUUCAAAGUAAAUCUUUUGUUAACUCAAUUGGUUUCUACUUUGGUAUUGGAGGUCUUUGCAGCUUCACACCUGCUCCUCUUUGUUCAUUAGCUGGAUCUCAGUGUUAUGCUUGGUUCCACUCGGCGUGAUAAGUUAUCUAUCUCUGAGGACACUGUAAAAGGUGGCCAAGGUAAAUGCAGAUGAACCGCUUCUAAUAGUCCAUUGACUUGGACAAUACUUUUAUGAUCUGAUCUCAAAUCAGGUAGGACUACCCGCUGAACUUAAGC